UGCCUCGAUUCAGCAGCACACAUAUAAAGUUGGAAUGAUUCGAAAGAGAUUAGCACAGCCCCUGCAUAGAGGUGACAGGCGAAUCCAUGAAGCAUUCUGUCAUGUU
ensembl:snRNA predicted gene, 22961